UGGGGAAUAUUGGGCAAUGGGGGCAACCCUGAUCCAGCCAUGCCGCGUGUGUGAAGAAGGCCUUUUGGUUGUAAAGCACUUUAAGCAGGGAGGAGAGGCUAAUGGUUAAUACCCAUUAGAUUAGACGUUACCUGCAGAAUAAGCACCGGCUAACUCUGUGCCAGCAGCCGCGGUAAUACAGAGGGUGCGAGCGUUAAUCGGAAUUACUGGGCGUAAAGCGAGUGUAGGUGGCUCAUUAAGUCACAUGUGAAAUCCCCGGGCUUAACCUGGGAACUGCAUGUGAUACUGGUGGUGCUAGAAUAUGUGAGAGGGAAGUAGAAUUCCAGGUGUAGCGGUGAAAUGCGUAGAGAUCUGGAGGAAUACCGAUGGCGAAGGCAGCUUCCUGGCAUAAUAUUGACACUGAGAUUCGAAAGCGUGGGUAGCAAAACAGGAUUAGAUACCCUGGUAGUCCACGCCGUAAAACGAUGUCUACUAGCCGUUGGGGUCCUUGAGACUUUAGUGGCGCAGUUAACGCGAUAAGUAGACCGCCUGGGGAGUACGGCCGCAAGGUUAAAAACUU
rnacentral:rRNA from 1 species